rnacentral:rRNA from 1 species
GAUGAACGCUGGCGGCGUGCCUAAUACAUGCAAGUCGAGCGAACAGACUAGGAGCUUGCUCCUCUCACGUUAGCGGCGGACGGGUGAGUAACACGUGGAUAACCUACCUAUAAGCCGGGGAUAACUUCGGGAAACCGUAGCUAAUACCGCAUAAUAUAUUGAACCGCAUGGCUCAAUAGUAAAAGACGGAUUUGCUGUCACUUCUAGAUGACUCCGCGUCGAUUUAGCAAGUUGGUAAGGUAACGGCUAACCAAGGAAACGAUGCGUAGCCGACCUGGGAGGGUGAUGGCCACACUGGGACCGGGGCCCGGGCCAAGCUUCCUAGGGAAGGAGCAGGAGGGGAACUUUCGGAAUGGGGGGAAAGCUUGACGGGGAAAGGCCGGGUGGGGAAGAAGGUUCUCCGGAUGGAAAGACUCUGUUAAUGGGGAGAAACAAUUGUGUAGGGAAAUAUGCACGCCUUGACGGUACCUUAUCAGAAAGCCACGGCUAACUACGUG